rnacentral:rRNA from 1 species
GAAAUAACCAUAGGAGGUCCAGCCUGCCCAGUGACAAAGUUAAACGGCCGCGGUACCCUAACCGUGCGAAGGUAGCGCAAUCACUUGUUCUUUAAAUGAGGACUAGUAUGAAUGGCAUCACGAGGGUUAUACUGUCUCCCUCUUUUAAUCAGUGAAACUGAUCUUCCCGUGAAGAAGCGGGAAUACAUCUAUAAGACGAGAAGACCCCAUGGAGCUUUAAACUCAGUAUCAACUGCCCUCCCAAUAUAUCCACCUAAUUAAGCAGACAUGACUACUAGUUUUCGGUUGGGGUGACCGCGGAGCAAAACAAAACCUCCACGAUGAAAGGAAUUAACCUCCUAAUCAAAGAGCUACAUCUCUAAGAAUCAACAAAUUGACAUUUAUUGAUCCAAUUUUUUGAUCAACGAACCAAGUUACCCUGGGGAUAACAGCGCAAUCCAUUUCAAGAGCCCCUAUCGACAAAUGGGUUUACGACCUCGAUGUUGGAUCAGGGUAUCCCAGUGGUGCAGCCGCUACUAAAGGUUCGUUUGUUCAACGAUUAAAACCCUACGUGAUCUGAG